AAGAGCUGGGCUGAGCUCUGGAAGGAGUCUGGAGGAGGUGGCAGGGGAGGGAGCAGAAGUCCUCUUCUCCACUGUCUUCAUGGAGGUCAGCUCCCGGGUGGGGGAAGGAGCACUUCGCUUUGCUUCAAGUCUGCCAAUAACUCGUAAGACAUUGAGGGGGAAGCCCUGGAUUCUUCUCUUGCAUUCCUGGAAGCUCACUACAGCCUGGGCCAGCCCCAACCACACUGGAAACACUACAGAUAGGGUCAGGCUCCUGGGACAACCACACAUCCCAUUUUCACCCUUCCUUUCCCUCCCUGCUGCCUGGCUUAGCCAUUCUGUAUCUCCAUGUUGGGAGGGAAUAUAGUCUCUCUCUGUCUUUCUAGCAUCCACUAUUCUGUGAGUGGCCUAACCAAGCCAGGGCUUCAUCCUGUCGUUUUUCUCUGCCCACUUCUCAUUGUAGCUGCAUUUGCAAGUUACUCUACCUGUCAAUGCUCAUGGCCCCAGACUACUUAAAAAAAAUUCUUUGACAUACUUUCUUCUAGAACACAAGUGGCUGGACGUCCACAAUAGCCAGGCCACUGCAUCUGGUACCUCAUACCCACACUCACUCACACCGUCUCCACUAGCACACUGCUAGUUGUCUUCACCUCAGAUUCACAAGUGCAGAAAGCAGAGUGCAGGUAACUAGCAGGCAGGUGGCAGGGACAGGUUCUAGAGCAGGUUUGUUCUCUUUGGAGCUACGCCGUCCUGCUCACUUCCUGCCUCUUCAGAAUGUAUGCCCUGGAUAAUGUCAUAUUCUCUUUAUUAGUAUUUGUUAUUAAUAAAUAUAUUG